CCUAACACAUGCAAGUCGAACGGUAACAGGAAGAAGCUUGCUUCUUUGCUGACGAGUGGCGGACGGGUGAGUAAUGUCUGGGAAACUGCCUGAUGGAGGGGGAUAACUACUGGAAACGGUAGCUAAUACCGCAUAACGUCGCAAAACCAAAGAGGGGGACCUUCGGGCCUCUUGCCAUCGGAUGUGCCCAGAUGGGAUUAGCUAGUAGGUGGGGUAACGGCUCACCUAGGCGACGAUCCCUAGCUGGUCUGAGAGGAUGACCAGCCACACUGGAACUGAGACACGGUCCAGACUCCUACGGGAGGCAGCAGUGGGGAAUAUUGCACAAUGGGCGCAAGCCUGAUGCAGCCAUGCCGCGUGUAUGAAGAAGGCCUUCGGGUUGUAAAGACUUUCAGCGGGGAGGAAGGGAGUAAAGUUAAUACCUUUGCUCAUUGACGUUACCCGCAGAAGAAGCACCGGCUAACUCCGUGCCAGCAGCCGCGGUAAUACGGAGGGUGCAAGCGUUAAUCGGAAUUACUGGGCGUAAAGCGCACGCAGGCGGUUUGUUAAGUCAGAUGUGAAAUCCCCGGGCUCAACCUGGGAACUGCAUCUGAUACUGGCAAGCUUGAGUCUCGUAGAGGGG
rnacentral:rRNA from 1 species